GGCAAGCGAAGAGUUUUGUUCCUUUUGCUUUUGGUUUAGGCUGGCGGUUUUCUCUUUUCUAGUUUUCUCUCGUAUCUUGAAGAGGAAUGCGGGUCUCGGCGGCCGUUGAUACGCGAGCAAGGUGGAUUUCGAAAAGCAGCAUGUGGAUGGUUGAUACUCUUAUCUUCAAGAUUAGCAAAGAUUAGCACAGUGUCGGUACAAUACUACGGGUAAUAUAAAUUUUAUAUGAAUCUGCG
rnacentral:lncRNA from 1 species